rnacentral:sRNA from 1 species
GUGUCUAGGGACAGACACAGGCCGCCAGGAAGGUAGCCAGGACAUCGCAUGAUGCGAUUCAUCAGGACGAUGUAGGAAGCACAAGGACCAGGGACGACGAUACGGGGGGGGUUAACCCCCCCUUUUU